rnacentral:rRNA from 1 species
AACGAACGCUGGCGGCAUGCCUAACACAUGCAAGUCGAACGAGACCUUCGGGUCUAGUGGCGCACGGGUGCGUAACGCGUGGGAAUCUACCCUUGGGUUCGGAAUAACAGUUAGAAAUGACUGCUAAUACCGGAUGAUGACGUAAGUCCAAAGAUUUAUCGCCCAAGGAUGAGCCCGCGUAAGAUUAGCUUGUUGGUGGGGUAAUGGCCUACCAAGGCGACGAUCUUAGCUGGUCUGAGAGGAUGAUCAGCCACACUGGGACUGAGACACGGCCCAGACUCCUACGGGAGGCAGCAGUGGGGAAUAUUGGACAAUGGGCGAAAGCCUGAUCCAGCAAUGCCGCGUGAGUGAUGAAGGCCUUAGGGUUGUAAAGCUCAUUUACCAGGGAUGAUAAUGACAGUACCUGGAGAAUAAGCUCCGGCUAACUCCGUGCCAGCCGCCGCUGUAA